rnacentral:rRNA from 1 species
UGGGGAAUUUUGCGCAAUGGGCUAACGCCUGACGCAGCAACGCCGCGUGGAGGAUGAAGGUCCUUGGAUUGUAAACUCCUGUCAGCAGGGAAAAAGGGAGUCGACCUAAUACGUCGGUGACUUGAUUGUACCUGCAGAGGAAGCCCCGGCUAACUCUGUGCCAGCAGCCGCGGUAAUACAGAGGGGGCAAGCGUUAUUCGGAAUUAUUGGGCGUAAAGGGCGCGUAGGCGGCUUUGCAAGUGGCGGGUGAAAUCCCUCGGCUUAACCGAGGAACUGCCUGCCAGACUGCGAGGCUUGAGACCGGGAGAGGUGAGUGGAAUUCCCAGUGUAGCGGUGAAAUGCGUAGAUAUUGGGAGGAACACCAGUGGCGAAGGCGGCUCACUGGACCGGAACUGACGCUGAGGCGCGAAAGCGUGGGGAGCAAACAGG